rnacentral:rRNA from 1 species
UCCUGGCUCAGAUUGAACGCUGGCGGCAGGCCUAACACAUGCAAGUCGAGCGGUAGAGAGAAGCUUGCUUCUCUUGAGAGCGGCGGACGGGUGAGUAAUGCCUAGGAAUCUGCCUGGUAGUGGGGGAUAACGUUCGGAAACGGACGCUAAUACCGCAUACGUCCUACGGGAGAAAGCAGGGGACCUUCGGGCCUUGCGCUAUCAGAUGAGCCUAGGUCGGAUUAGCUAGUUGGUGGGGUAAUGGCUCACCAAGGCGACGAUCCGUAACUGGUCUGAGAGGAUGAUCAGUCACACUGGAACUGAGACACGGUCCAGACUCCUACGGGAGGCAGCAGUGGGGAAUAUUGGACAAUGGGCGAAAGCCUGAUCCAGCCAUGCCGCGUGUGUGAAGAAGGUCUUCGGAUUGUAAAGCACUUUAAGU